AGAGUUUGAUCCUGGCUCAGGAUGAACGCUAGCUACAGGCUUAACACAUGCAAGUCGAGGGGAAACGAUAGAGAAAGCUUGCUUUUUCUAGGCGUCGACCGGCGCACGGGUGAGUAACGCGUAUCCAACCUGCCCAUCACUUGGGGAUAACCUUGCGAAAGUAAGACUAAUACCCAAUGAUAUCUCUAGAAGACAUCUGAAAGAGAUUAAAGAUUUAUCGGUGAUGGAUGGGGAUGCGUCUGAUUAGCUUGUUGGCGGGGUAACGGCCCACCAAGGCGACGAUCAGUAGGGGUUCUGAGAGGAAGGUCCCCCACAUUGGAACUGAGACACGGUCCAAACUCCUACGGGAGGCAGCAGUGAGGAAUAUUGGUCAAUGGGCGAGAGCCUGAACCAGCCAAGUAGCGUGCAGGAUGACGGCCCUAUGGGUUGUAAACUGCUUUUAUAAGGGAAUAAAGUGGGAGUCGUGACUCCUUUUGCAUGUACCUUAUGAAUAAGGACCGGCUAAUUCCGUGCCAGCAGCCGCGGUAAUACGGAAGGUCCGGGCGUUAUCCGGAUUUAUUGGGUUUAAAGGGAGCGUAGGCCGGAGAUUAAGCGUGUUGUGAAAUGUAGACGCUCAACGUCUGCACUGCAGCGCGAACUGGUUUCCUUGAGUACGCACAAAGUGGGCGGAAUUCGUGGUGUAGCGGUGAAAUGCUUAGAUAUCACGAAGAACUCCGAUUGCGAAGGCAGCUCACUGGAGCGCAACUGACGCUGAAGCUCGAAAGUGCGGGUAUCGAACAGGAUUAGAUACCCUGGUAGUCCGCACGGUAAACGAUGGAUGCCCGCUGUUGGUCUGAAUAGGUCAGCGGCCAAG
rnacentral:rRNA from 1 species